GUUGAGUUAGGUUGAGUUAGGUUGAGUUAGAAUAAGCUU
rnacentral:guide_RNA from 1 species